UGGGGAAUAUUGGACAAUGGGCGCAAGCCUGAUCCAGCAAUGCCGCGUGUGUGAAGAAGGCCUGCGGGUUGUAAAGCACUUUCAGUAGGGAAGAAAAGCCUAGGGUUAAUACCCCUGAGUCUUGACGUAAGCUACAGAAGAAGCACCGGCUAACUCUGUGCCAGCAGCCGCGGUAAUACAGAGGGUGCAAACGUUGCUCGGAAUGACUGGGCGUAAAGCGCGCGCGGGUGGCCCGUUAAGUUGGCUGUGAAAUCCCCUGGCUCAACCAGGGAAGUGCAGUCGAUACUGGCGGGCUCGAGUCCCGGAGAGGGUGGUAGAAUUCCCAGUGUAGAGGUGAAAUUCGUAGAUAUUGGGAGGAAUACCGGUGGCGAAGGCGACCGCCUGGACGGGUACUGACACUGAGGCGCGAAAGCGUGGGGAGCAAACAGGAUUAGAUACCCCGGUAGUCC
rnacentral:rRNA from 1 species